UAUUUUAGUCUUGUUAGAGGAACCUGUUUUAUAAUCGAUAAACCACGAAUAUUCUACUUAUUUUAAAUAAUUUGUAUACCGUCAUUAUCAGAUAACUUUUAAAAAAAUUAGUUAUUAAAAUUAAAUAUAAUUAAAUAUAUUAGAUCAAGGUGCAGUUAAUAAAUGAGAAAAAAUGGGUUACAAUAAAAUUUAUUUAUAACGAAUUAUAUAAAUGUAAAAAUAUAUGAAGGAGGAUUUAAUUGUAAUUUUUUUUAUAAAAUAAUAAUAUGAUAAUAGCUCUAAAAUAU
rnacentral:rRNA from 1 species